rnacentral:lncRNA from 1 species
AUGCUAUUGGUGGGGUACUCAUGCAAGAAGGCCACCCUAUUGCUUAUGAAAGUCGAAAGCUGAAUGAUACCGAGCGACGGUACACUGUCCAAGAAAAAGAGAUGACAGCCAUCAUUCACUGCCUACGGACAUGGCGACACUACUUGCUUGGUAGUAAGUUCGUAGUCAAGACGGACAAUGUAGCCACUAGCUACUUCCAGACUCAAAAGAAGCUGAGUCCCAAGCAAGCCCGAUGGCAAGACUUCUUGGCAGAGUUUGAUUAUCAGCUCGAGUACAAGCCAGGGAAGGCUAAUGUUGUCGCUGACGCACUGAGUCGCAAGGCAGAAUUAGCCAAUAUCAGUGCUAGCACCCCACAGAGCGACCUGCUAGAGCGCAUCCGAGAAGGGAUGCAACACGAUCCUAUGGCCAAAAACUUGCUCAAACUUGCAAAGGAGGGCAAAACACGAAGAUUCUGGGAGCAAGAUGGAGUGUUACAUACUCAUGGUAACCGCAUCUUCGUACCAAAAUGGGGGAACCUUCGCAAGGAAAUUCUCAAGGAGUCCCACGACUCAAAAUGUGCUGGGCAUCCUGGUGAAGCACGAACAAUGGCCUUAGUAAAAGUUCACUACUAUUGGCCAAAGAUGCAUGAAGAUGUCAAGACAUAUGUUAAGACUUGCCUUGUUUGUCAACAAGACAAGGUAGAACAGCAACCUCCCGUGGGCUUACUUGAACCUCUUCCCAUUGCGGAGCGCCCUUGGGAGAGCGUCUCAAUGGAUUUCAUCACUGCACUACCAAAAUCCGAUGGAUACGGUAGCAUCAUGGUGGUUGUUGAUCGAUUCAGGCAAGUAUGCUACCUUCAUCCCAGCACCAGUUGAAUGCAAGGCUGAUGAUGCAGCCCGUAUGUUCUUCAAAAAUGUGGUGAAAUUGUGGGGACUUCCACGAAAUAUUGUAAGUGACCGAGACCCCUGCUUCACAGGCAAGUUUUGGCGAGAAUUGUUCAAGCUGAUGGGGACAGACUUGAACUUCUCAACCAGCUUCCAUCCCCAAAGUGAUGGGCAAACUGAGCGUGUCAAUGCAUUAUUGGAGCUGUAUCUUCGACAUUAUGUUAGUGCCCAUCAGCGAGAUUGGGCCAAGUUGCUUGAUAUUGCCCAAUUCUCGUAUAACCUCCAAAGGAGUGAAUCCACGGGCAAAAGUCCCUUCGAAAUCAUUAUGGGACAGCAGCCCCUCACUCCCAAUGCCAUCGCAGCUUCAACAAAUCCAGCAGCUUACAAGUUUGCGAGAGAAUGGCAUGAAGAAGCUGACGAAACUCGUGCCUGUCUCGACAAGGCUGCUCGACGGAUGAAGAAAUGGGCUGACAUCAAGCGGCGCCCAAGAGAGUAUGUCGAGGGUGACAAGGUGCUGAUCAAACUCCUCCCUAACCAAUUUAAGGCAAUGCGCAAGCUGCACAAAGGGUUAGCAAGGAGGUACGAGGGACCAUUCCCUAUCAUCAAACGAAUAGGGAAGGCCGCCUAUCGAGUUGAACUGCCGCCCAAGUUGAAGAUUCAUGAUGUCUUCCAUGUUAGCAUACUGAAACCUUAUCAUGCGGAUGAUGAGGACCCAAGUAGGGGCGAGUCUACUAGAGCGCCAACUGCUAUUGUUACCGAAUUUAACAAGGAGGUUGACAGCAUACUAAACUCACGAGUGGUGCGGCGACGUAGAGUGCCAGCCUAUCGCGAGUAUCUAGUCAAGUGGAAGAACUUGCCCGAGUUCGAAGCUAGCUGGGAGCAUGAGGAUACUCUUUGGCAAUUCAAAGACAAGAUAAAAGAAUUCGAGGCUCAAGACGCGACGAGGACGGCGCGAGGUUGAGGGGGGGAGGGUGUUACGCCCUGCACAAGAAGCUAGCAAGAAAGCAAAGGUAGCCUCGCAAUUUAUAGGCAAGACUUAGAAGGGUGCCAAUUGGGCUGCCACACUUGAGCCCGUUUUCUAGAAUUCUCCACAUUAUUCUACUCAAUAGAUAUUUCAUGUAAUGUCUACAUUAUUCUAGAAUUAUCCAUGUAAUCUAGACCGUUGAUUUGAAUAGAUUAAAUCCUAGCCGUCCAUUGAGGAGGUGGAAGUGGCUAUAAAUACCACCCCUCACUUCACUUGUAAAUCAUCCAAGCUCAUACAAGCAAUACAAAUGAGUGUUCUUAGUUCUUAUAAGCUCUCUUGUGUUCUCUUCUCUAUUUAACUCUCGUUUUUGCUCCAACACAACUAUAAGGCUUACUUAGCUCGUCCUAGCACCCAAAGGCGACUAAGUGCCGCACGGGUAGGCAAGCUAAAAACCUAUCUCCGUGACACUAGGCUUCUCUAGUAAGACCCAGAUUAUGCUAGAGUGGUUUCCUUCGAGCUUGCCUUGCCUCCACAGGUGCCAGAAUUCUCUAGAAUUCUCCAGAUGAUCCUCCAACCCUCAAGAUGGCCCUAGAUUAUAGUAGAACUCCCUAGAUCUCCCCAGAUCAUUCUAUCACUCUCUAGGUUUUGCUAGCACGUCCCAAAGGCUUCUAGGCUUCUUCCUUAGUUUUAUGCUUUCUAGAACUCUCUAGAAUCUUGGAGAAUAGCCUAGUAUCUUCCUUCCAUCGACUUAGUUGAUUAUAUAUACAUAUAAAGAGGCACUAUAAGAACUCUAAUUGCCUCCUUAAUCCGCAUGGUUUCAGGCCACUCACUAAAAACACUUCAAAUAUCAACUUGUAAAAUUAGAUCGAUUUGACAUUUAUUGGAUAGUUAAAAUUAUACUAUCCAUAUCUCAAAUCAAUAAUUUGCAUAUUAAAUCAAAACAUCCUAAAAAAAUGUUACUCCCUCUAUUCUCUUUGUAUGGAGAAAACUGAUUUUGCACAUGGAUUAAGAUGGCAGUUUAACUGAAUAUUUUUUCUACUUUAUGCCUCAUUUACCUAAACAAUAUUAAUUGGUCUGUUAGUUGAGAGAGAACUAACUUAUAUAAUGAGACUCCCAAUGAAGCAUCAAUUACAAGAUUUACAGUCAAAAAUGGAGGGAAGAGGUGAGUUAAUGCAUUAAACUCUUAAAAGUUCAAACUUUCCAAAAUUAUAACUUUCCGUUUGAAAUUUUUAAUUUCCAUUUACAUCAUUCUUGAGCUUUUCAAAUAUAUUCACACAAAUAUAAUGAAAAUAUAGAGCCUUAAUUUUAUUACUCUCAUUGUCUCCUUAACUUUUACAAUAUGCUUACAUAUAAAUUUGAAGUAGAUGAAAAUGUAAUUACAUUCAUAGACAUUUCAAAAAAAAAUGGCAGUGGAAAGAGGGCAACAAUAAUUGUUACAUCAUGAAUCCACCAUUUUUAUUUUAUCUCAAUGAUAUUUCAAUCUACUCGUCCGCACAUUCUCAAGAUAUGGCCACAACUUUCCAACUGCCAAAUUUGUACUUUUUAUUUGAUGAAGAACAAAGCGUUAUAGUUGUUCUUGAAAUGAGUCUAUCUCAAAAUGUUAUUGCAGACAACACAAAAAUAGGAAUACCUGAUCAUAUAAAAAAUUCUAUAAGCAACAUGCUUUUUUCUAAGUUGCAACAAGAUAACCUAAAUUCGUGUAGUUUGAAAAAGUUGCGGCCAUAUUUAGCAUAUCUGUGAAGUCAAUUUAAGUCUGUAUCGCUCACGUUUUAUUUAAGAACAUAAGCACAAAAUUUUCAUUAAUGCUUAGUUAAAUUACAAAAUUACAUUAAGUUAGUUGGAGUUAAUAAAAUUCGUGAACACAUUUACAAGGUGUAAUAUCAAUAUAAAAAGGUCUUUUAAAACUAAGUUGCAGCCUUCCAAUUGUGCAUUCAUAUUAUAGAUAAUUACACAAACUGUCACUUAUAUUUGUGCUUGCAUUCAUAAAGUCGAGCACACUAUUAAAAAUCCUCAGAAAAUAGUUAUUGAUAACAAGGCUCAUAUAAGUGCAUUUUAGACUUUUUAAUAAAUGCCAUUACUUUUUUUUACCUGUCACUUUCUCGUUCAGUGAACAAUUUUUACACGGAUAAGAUGGCUCAUAUAAGGGCAUUUUAGACUUUCCAUCUGACAUUUUUCAAAGUUUCUAUUCAAAGUAAAAUUCUCUAUAUAAAAGAAACACACAAAUUGGAAAGUUUCUUUAUAUAAAGAGAAGAGGGAAUAUUAUUAGUAUAAAAACGGUCGAAUAUAUAAAUUGCCCCGUGAACUUUUAUAAAAAAGUCUGGUAGCACCCUAUACUUAAGAUUUAAUCUUUUAGCUCCUUAAAUUUCAUUUUUUUUCAUCAAUUACAUACUUUAAACUUCACUCUCCUUGUCAAUUACACACCUUGUCAUGUUGGAAAACUAAUUGAAAAUGCACGUGCUAGAAAAGAGAGUAAAAUGUAUUUAAGUAUCCAACAUGGUAUUUUUUUUUUUUUAAGUUUUUCUUUUUAACUUUAAAUUCUCUCUCCCAUUUUUAAAUUUAUAUUUUUAAUGUUAAAUUAAUUAAAAUACUUUUUUUAAGCUUUACUAAUAUUCAUUUCUCUCUCUUCUUCAUCUUCUUCUACUUGAGAUGAACCUUGUUAGCAAUUUUUUUUUUUUCAUCGUACUAUAGAAUGAGGAGAUUAAAAUGGUUUUCUAAUUGUAUAACUUUUUCCAGUUAAAAACUUCAGCAAUUUAAAACAAAAAGUUACAGACCUAAACAAAAGAGAACAAAAUGAAGCUAAAGAUCAUAUGUGAAACGUGAAGAUGGGUAAAUUGUUUUUUCAACUCAACUUCAUAGCAAACCAAAUUUUCCAAAUUUUUUCUUUAAAAAAAAAAAAAAUUUCUUGGGUAUUGGAAAAGAACUGAAAGGGUUAUAAAUCUGCAGGUUUUGAUUGUGGGUUUCUGCUUUCUUUCUCACUGGGUUGAUUUCUGCAAAAGUUGCAACCAUCUAAUACUGUUCCUGCCAAAAAAAAAAAUAAAUAAAUAAAGAGAAUCAAGUUAAUCAUCUACAUGCUAUGAUCUUCUAUAUGGAUAAAUAAAAAUAUAAAAUCUGAAACAAGAAAAAUUAAGAAAAAAAAUAUGAUUUUAUAUUUUAUGGGAUAAUUUAAAAAAUGACUAAUAAAAUAAAUUAAAUAAAAGCAUGAUAGAUAGAGAGAAAAGCAAAUGAGGAUGAGAUGAAACCAGGGGAUGUUGAGCAGAGAACACCGUUUUUCUUUUUCUUUUUUUUUUUUUAAAAAAAAAUAAACACAUUAGAGCUAAUGUGUUAAAUAACUUGCCACCUAUAACUGAUUUUUCUAUCUUAAUGUGGAAUUCACGAAUUAAUUUUUUCUCUACAAAAUCAUUUUUAAAUUUUUAAAAUGGGCCACGGAGCUUUUUGAUAAAAAUUUAGGCGACAAUUAAUAUAUUUGGCCACAUUAAAACUUUAUAGUGUUAUCAGAAUCUUUAAUUUUAAGGGCACAGCGUCCUAUACAAAGUGUGGCCUUCUCUAAAAUUUUUACGAGAAAUAUACGAGUGAAUUUUAUAUAGAAAUGGAGUAAAUAGUUAAUCACUUUUUUUUUUUUUCUCCCAGACGAGUAAUUUUAAUGUCUUUAAUAAGGAAUCAUAAUUUAUAUUUAUAAAAAUUGAAAUUGAAAUUGAAGUACUUUUGAAUUUCAGAUAAAAACCAUUAGGUGAUCGGAUCUUCACUAUUUACAUGCCCAAUUCCUCCGGCAAUUGUAUUCCCAAGCCAUGACAGAUAAACCACCGCCACUGAAGCCACCGCUUUUUUCCCAAGACUGGGAGUCUCUAAUCGACGACUUUCAGCAAGGCGGUGCUCGCCUCCACAAAUGGACGGCGGCCACUCACUCCCUCCCUUCUCUCCUCGACCACGCCCUCUCAUCUCUCCUUAAAAAAGACUUCCCUCUCAAAAUCCCUCUCCUUAUCUUCCUCGAAGAAUUCUCCGAUACAUUUUUCACUGAUGAAUCCCAAUUGGACCGUCUCCUCGACGCUCUCCGUGCUGUUGUUCAAGCUCCUCUCGAUGGGAUCGCUAUUACUUUUCUCUUCAAAGAGCAGUUCAUGGUCUCUACCACUUCCAUUUUCAUUUCCAUCGACGCGCUCAAUAAAUUCCACGCGCGGUUCACUGAGGGUUUGGUUGAGCUGCUUCUCACUGUUAUUCAUCGUCCUAACCACGGCCUUGAUCGACAGACACGAGCUAUCGCUUGUGAGUGUCUACGCGAGAUAGAGAAGUGCUAUCCUUGUCUGCUUUCGGGUGUUGCUGGCCAUCUAUGGAGUUUGUGUCAAAGCGAGAGAACUCAUGCUUGUCAGUCUUACAUGUUGUUGUUUACUAUGGUUGUCUAUAAUAUUGUUAAUCGUAAGUUGAAUGUCUCUAUUCUGAAUACUUCGGUGCCUUUGGUUCCAUUUAAUUUGCCUCAAUGGAUGUUUAACAGUAAGGAGAUUGCGGGUGUGAAUGGUAAAGAGUUGAGAAGGGCUUUGGCGUUUUUGUUAGAUACGCGGCAGGUUUUGACCCCAUGUGGUAUGGUGGAGUUCUUGCAAAUGAUAAUGCCACUGGCUGUGGCUUUGGAACUGCAAGGUUCCAUGUUGAAAGUGCAGUUUUUUGGGUUGAUUUAUUCAUUUGAUCCAUUUUUGUGCCAUAUUGUUUUAGUCAUGUACUCCCAUUUUCUGGAUACGUUUGAUGGCCAAGAGGGAGAGAUCGUAAGGCGAUUAAUGUUGAUUUCUAAGGAAACACAACAUUAUUUGGUUUUCAGAUUGCUAGCUCUUCAUUGGUUGUUGGGUUUUAUAAGCAAACUGAUAUUGAGUGGAGAAGAUAAGAAAUAUAAAUCGGUUGCUGAUAUUUGUUUGAGAUUCUAUCCAGCUGUGUUUGAUUCACUUGCUUUGAAAGCAUUGAAGCUUGAUUUGCGUGCUUUUUGUUCCAUAUAUCUUGAUAGUUUGAAAAUAGAAGGUGGUUCUGGUGAGGAGGGCAGUGCUGCUAAUUCUGUUGUCAAGCUUUUUGCAGACGGUCUAGUUUCUGUUUCAGCUUUCAAAUGGUUACCUCCUUGGAGCACUGAAACUGCUGUUGCAUUCCGUGCCUUCCAUAAAUUUUUGAUAGGUUCUUCAUCUCAUUCUGACACUGAUUCUUCUACUACUAGAACCCUCAUGAACUCUGUAAUCUUUCGUACUCUACAGGUAUUUUUUUUCUGCUGACAAUUAAUUGGUCUGCAUUGCUUUAUUCUGCUCAUUUAUUUGCUUUUCACUAUGAACAUAGAUAUUGGGGGAUUAAGAAGCUUAUUAGAAAGCUAUUUCUUGUUUUGACUUGUCUUUCUUUUAUGUAACCGAAAGCUCUUUAGCAUUUGGACUUUGGUCUAAAGAAGUAUUGAGAUGCUAUUAGACAAAGUAUUGGUACAAUUUUUAUAGAUUAAAACAAUAAUUUAUAAGUUGGAUAUGUGUGUCACCUUCGAAAACACAGAUUAUAUGAGAUUCCACAACUGCAAAUAUGUCAGGUGAUAGUGUUGUUGUGAAUAACGAGUUAAAAUAAAAAGGUACCUUAUAAAUCAUCCAGGGAAUUGUCUUCCUCUUAACAGUUCGUACUAAUUUUGGCUUUGAGCAUUCCAAAGUCAAAAUAGUAAUAUUUUUGAAACAUACAGUUUUUGCCUGAGGCUAGUUUGGAAGGAGAAUUUGUUCUGAUUAUGUAAUGUUGAGGACAUUGAAAUCUUAAAAGUUGGGGAGGAAAAAGUGUCUACAUAUUUUGAUGUCCACACAUUUAUUCUUUUCUAUUUUUCCCUUGUCUCUUAAUUCACCUCGCUGUUUGUUAAGAAUUGUAAAGCUCUAGUGGAUCAUAAUGCUGCCUUUGAAGUACAGAACCGAUGAGUAUUUCUAUAUGACUUGAGGUUUUCCAUUCUGGAACAGUUUCAGUAAUAUUCUACCAUGAUUUGACAUAGCAAAAUAGGAUCUAAUUCUAAAUUAGGUCAUAUUUGACAGCAGAACAUUGAAAGAGAGGAUAAAAAGGCCAAAACUAAAAUAGGCUUGAACUUCUGGUUAUGCAACCAGGAAAGGCAAAUGUCUUGAACUGAUUUUUAUUAUUUCUCAAAUAUCUGAAAGUUACUUUAAAUCUAAGCAUUACAGCUUUAUUUAUAAGCAUACAAUCCCUUGAGAAUAAGAUCUUAACUUUAAAUCCUAAUAGAAAAAAACUUGACUAUUCGACACAAAAUUCAACUUAAUUGAAAUAUAAAAAUAACCCUAAUUUGAAAAUUUACACUACUUUGAAUAAUCAUGUGCCACAAUAACAUGAAUGGUAACUUUUGAACAUGCUGAAAUUCCUAGUUUAGCUCUUGCAUCGUGAAGUGUGCUAUUUAUUCAAUACUUGAUAAUGCCUGGUUGGGGUCAAUCCUCUACAUAUUUUCUGUAGCAAAAUGUUGGCAUUUUGUAGCAUUAGUUGUUUUGGUUCUGCUGUUGAAUUUUAAAUUUUAAAUUUUCAGUCACAAAAAGAAGUAAAAUACUUGGCAUUCUUUGAGCAGUUUGUUUUUUGUGACUAGAAGCAAUUUUGACUGAAGAAUUUGGUCAAAUGUGCAUUUUUUUUAAAAGAUAUGCUUUCAAGGCUGAAGGUUCCAUUAGGCAAUUACGGUUAUGAUUUGUAAUUUGUUCAUAAAUUGAGGUGAAAUUCUUUUAGUUUUUCAGAAAAGCUCUUACGAAGUUUAGUCCCAAAAUAGGUUGGAAUGGACCCAUUUAGCAAACUGUGAGACUAAUCGUCAGUUCGAUUGAGUAAUAACAUGUUUAUGUCCUAGCUCUUUCAUUUCACAUGUAAUACAUGUGUACUCCAUUAGGAAAACUCUUGCAAGCAAUAAUAAGAUUAUCAUUAAUAUUGGCCUCUUCCAGUUAUUUGUUUCUUACUAAUUGGAUGUCCCCUCAUGGAACGUAGAAUAUUGCAAAGUAAUCUUGGAUUUUUACCUAAAUUUUCAGGUUUUCUUUCAAAAUACAAUGUAAAGUUCAGAUCCUUGUUUUUCUUUCUUAGAGAGGCUUUUCUAUAAGGAUAUUUUUCACCUAUUCUCCAUAGGAUUCUGUAUGUGGCUAUUGCUGUUGUAUUAUUAUAAAAAUUACUUCCUAAUAUUUAUCCUAUAGUUUGUUUUAUUUAUUUAUUCAUUCAUAUAGAUCAUUUCAAUAUUGUACUAAGCUAGAGGGAGAGAGGUGUUGAUAUCACCCAUUAUAUAGCAUGAGAAAUAGAAUAUACCGUGCAAAAAGACAACUGAAAGUAUCGGCUUAGUCAGAGAGAACUGGCAGGCAGAAAAGAAUCCAAGCUUGAAAAGUGUGGGGGAAAGAGAAAGAGUUGGAAGUUUGUUUUGCUGCAUGUGCCUUCUAAAUAAAUAAUAUCAGACCAUCAAAACUAUUUUUUUGACUCAUGGAGUUCAUAUCAGGUCUUGGUGUUUUACGUCUAACAAACUGGGCCUGAAUCACAGGUGGAUCAACUAGAUUGAUUUAAAGACAUUCUUUCUUCUUGUGACCUAGUCCUUGCCAUUUUAAUUUAUGACAAUUUUGACAUAUAUCAAAUUUUAUUUAUUUUUCUAUUUCCCCAUCCCUAAUCUCUUUUAUUUUGUGGCUGGAUGUAUGCUAGUGUCUUUGUUUGAGUUCCACCUGUAAAUUACUUGGCUUCAAGAAACCUUUUCUUUUUUAUUUAUUUUUUGUCUUCUAUACUUUUUGAGUGGCUAGACAUGAAGCAAAUAAUGCUGAUGUUCCCAAUUGUACUUCUAUAUCAUUGAUGCUCCCAGUUUCACUUGUCCAGGGGAUGUUGGUGGGGAUGACAUUGGAUUUUGUAAGGCUGGUUCCUGUUGUCAUUUCUUUCAUUGAGCGUUUAUUAGGCUGCGAAAAGCAUCGGUGGUUGGGAGAACGCCUGCUUCAGAUGCUUGAUGAGUAUUUGCUUCUAAAAGUCAAAAUAGAUUAUAAAUUGGUUUCUUACUUCCCAAUAUUUGACAGAAUAGCCGAAAAUGAGGCAAUACCUCCUCAGAGAUUGGUAGACCUACUUACCAAGUUUAUGGUUUUCCUUGUUAAGAAACACGGGCCCAAUACAGGGCUGAAGUCAUGGUCGCAGGGAAGUAAAGUCCUUGGCAUUUGCCGAACUAUGCUGAUGCACCACCAUAGCUCUAGAUUGUUCCUUGGGUUAUCUCACCUUCUUGCAUUUACUUGUCUUUACUUCCCUGAUUUGGAGGUUCGAGACAAUGCCAGGUGACUUAAAGAAAUGCCCUUCAGCAUUUUUUUCCCUCUUUUAUGUGUGCAUUUAGUUCCUUUCCUUUUAUACUUGUUAGUAGCUGUUGCUUCUCACUUUCUUCACUAACUGUGGUAAUGCAUAGGAUCUACAUGCGGAUGCUAAUCUGUAUACCCGGAAUGAAGCUUAAAGGCAUACUAAACUUUGGGGAGCAAUUCCUUGGAAUUUCACCAUCUACAAAUUCAAGCUCUUUCUUCAAUGUUCUAUCUCCUCGACAUCAUCAGAAUUUCAAGAAAUCUAGGAGCAUCUCAUCCUGCAUUCAUCUGGAGCGUAUGUUGCCUUUGCUUGUUAAGCAAUCCUGGUCACUGUCCUUGUCGCCUUUGGAUAUUAGUUCCAGUAAACCUAGUUAUCUGGAAAGCAUUAUGGAUAGUGAACCACAGGUUGAUUUAAGGGAGCUAGAAGUUGGUACUAAUUUUCUAGCAACCUCAAGAAAUGAAAGAACUACUCCAUUACAGGAGCCAUUACGUGUAAUGGAUUCAAAGGUUUCACAGAUCUUAGGCGUAUUAAGGAGGCACUUCUCGUGUAUUCCUGAUUUUAGGCACAUGACAGGGCUCAAGGUUAGCAUAUCCUGCAGUUUGAAGUUUGAAUCUGACUCUUUCAAUCAGUUAUGCGGGAAUAGCUCUCCAACCAGUCGGUUAGAUGGAAUAGAUGCGCUUCCUGCUUUAUAUGCAACUGUGCUAAAAUUUUCAUCAUCAGCACCAUAUGGGUCCAUCCCACCAUAUCACAUACCUUUCCUUCUUGGUGAAGCCACCAAGAAAGAUCACAUCUCCAGCCCAGAAGUUUCACUAGACAUUGUUCCUGUGGAAAAUUAUUUUGAAGAAGAGGAAAACUAUAAAGCUCGCGUUACAGUUGAUCUAGAACCACGGGAACCUACUCCUGGUUUGGUUGAUGUUUUCAUUGAAACAAAUGUGGAAAAUGGCCAGAUAAUCCGUGGUCAGCUUCAAAGUAUCACAGUAGGUAUAGAAGACAUGUUUCACAAGGCUAUUGUCCCGUCUGACAUCUCAGAAGAUGCCAUGUCAGCAUAUUAUUCAGGAUUAUUUGAUGCUCUUUGGGAGGCAUGCGGUGCUUCCACCAACAUUGGACGUGAGACGUUCCCAUUAAAAGGAGGGAAAGGUGCUGCAGCAAUCAAUGGUACCCGAUCUGUCAAGCUUCUUGAGGUUCCUGCAGACUCUCUGAUUUGUGCCAUUGAGAAGUAUUUGACACCCUUUGUGGUUUGUGUGAUCGGAGAACAGCUUGUGAACAUGGUGAAGGAUAGGGGAAUCAUCAAAGACAUUGUAUGGAAAGCUGCUGCAUCAGAUUCUUUGGUCGAUAGCACUGCCUUAGUUACUACCGAGUUCAAUAAGGGUCCACUUCAUCUGACAUACUUCAAUGAUGAAUAUGAUAGAGAAACUCAGGUAAAUGGCUACAAAAGAAUCAUGGGUUGCUUUCUCGUGUUGAUAUUUCUUCCACCAAGGUUCCAUCUUCUUUUCCAAAUGGAAGUCUCUGAUCUAUCAACGUUGGUUCGAAUUAGGACUGAUCAUUGGCCAUGCUUAGCUUAUGUCGAUGGUUAUUUGGAGGCUUUAUUUUUGACAGAAAGGUGAUCUUACAGAGGAUGAAGUCUCAUCCAGAUGACCUCUUUUGCUGCUUCUGUAAGUUAAUUGCCAAUUGGUUCUUAUUCUUUCCCCAGAUUAUUUUAACAAAAAGGAGGGUAAUUUUUUUUAACACCCGACAAAUAAACUGUUGUGUAAAUGCCUCUGCAAGUGAGUUGCUUUUUGUUGUAUUCUUUCAAUGUAUCAAAAUUUUAAGAUACCCUUUUUGUUUUUUAUGGCCUUCCAUUUUCAUUUCUGUAGCAGAAACGUCCAAGUUUCUAGUUUGUGUAAAGCUAAUUCAUUGUAUCAGUUAUGUAUUUAUUGAUUAAUUGUUGUCAUUAUUAUUUUUAUGGUUAUUACUACUGAUUAAUUGUAUCCGUUAUGGUUAUUAUUGUUGUCAUUGUAUCAAAAGUGCUUCCAUGUAGUUGGAUAUUAGGUAAGAGUUGGGUUUGCAGAAUAUGGUGUUCAUAGGGCGGGCGGCUAAGAAAGAUAAGAGAUAGGGCUUGAAGAAAGCGGGUAAUAUUGAAUGUAAAUGAAUGGUCAAGCAGUCUUUCAUAUUCUAGCGACGGAGAGCUCUCAAUAAGGCAUAAUAUGAAUAAGCCAAAGAAGGGAAUGAGUCUCUUUUAAUGAAAAAGCAAGCCAGUUACAUUCCUUCUCUAAUUGCAGAAAAGGGCAUCUUGUUCCCGGCCAGUUUUCUUGAUCGGUAUCAGGUAUAGCUUGCUUUACUCACUCACUAGGGCUGGAUGUCGGGAUAAGAAUGAGAUUGUCAAACCUAGUUCCAUGUGGCAAGGUACGGUUUCUCACUCUAGCUAGGGAGAAGUAGUUGGAUGCAGUGACAGAGCAAUCGGGAUCCUAUCCUACUUUGCUUUGUCAUUGUCCACAUCCCGCAGCAAUGGACUAAGUUAUCGGCCAACUGGUCGGGUCCUGCCCUAGCUAUAGUCAGGGCUUUCUAGAGGCCUUUUAGACAAAAAGAAAGAUCGAUAAGACGGCUUUUCACAGUGAUGACCUUCAGUAGUGCUUCUACCCCGCUCUGGACAGUAAUAAUAGAAGGUAAGCUAGCAUUAGCAAGGCAAGUUAACUUGAAGCAAGAACUCUUAAGGGCAGGAGCAUAACUGCAACUAAAACUAUUACUAGCCUAUACUAUUUCCACAACUAAAAUCACCUCCUACACUUGAGAACUAAUACGCAUUGGAAACGAAGCAGACAGUCACCAUUACCGAAGACUAGCCUAGUGGUCAAUUUUUUUGAACUCUUUUAUUCUUUAUUUUUCUUGUCACCAAAUUUCAAGUUUACUCUCAAUUAUAUUUUUCUGAUCAAAAGUUAGUGAAAUUGUUAUUUUCGUAUUAAUUAAAAGUAUAAAAGACUAAAUCGUCCUUUGGAGUAAUUAAUUUGAUUUUUAACUUUAUGAAUUUCAUCAAUUACUAUUUGUCAAAUUAAUUACAAAAUCAAAUAUUUAGAGUUAAUGAGUUUAAUUAACUUCAUUAAGAUUCAAACAUUAAAUAGACAAUGCAGUACAAUAAAUCAAAUAUUUUGUUGGGUCUUAAGGGAUGAAAGGGGCACCAUGUUGAAUGCUUGUCAGUUAGUGGGGGUUUUGAUGCUUCAGUUGCUGAGGCACUAUCAUUUCGUGAGGCCUUACGUUGGGCCAAAAGAAAUGGUUACCGAAUUUGAAUCUGAUUCUCAGUUACUUGUCCAAACUAUAUACCGUGGUCGAAAUGAUCUUAUCCUAUUUUGGUUGUUUAAUUAUGGACUGUAAAGCUUUGUUAAAAGAAAUUCCUUUAGGUUCUGUCUCUUUUAUUCGUAAAUCAGCAAAUUGGAUUGCACAUCUUCUUGCAACUCAUGUCUACUCUUUGUCCGAUUUGAAGGAGUGGGGUCUUGUCCCUCCUUUCAUUAUGGAUUUUUUCAUUAAUGAUUUAAGUUCAUGAAAGUUGCAGUUUUAUUAUUUUUUUUUUUUUAAAGAAAAAGGACAAUCCAGUACAGUAAAUUGAAGGAUUAAAAGUCAGAUUUAACCUUUUAGAUUAAUUUAUCCCGUAAAUUUUUAUAGAGAUUAAAAGGUCGAAUUUGACUUUUUUUUUUUUAGCUAAUUUAGCCCCUAAAUCUAUUUUCAUUUUGUAAACAAUAAAUUGAUUCAAUUAUUGACUUUUAUUCCUUCUUAUUUUUGCAUUAGAAACGAAUGUUUUGAAAAUUGAAUUGGACCUUGGUCAUACCAGUUAAAUUCAAUCGAAUGUGAUUUAGUUUUCUACUGCAAAAUGGGC